rnacentral:rRNA from 1 species
GAUGAACGCUGGCGGCGUGCCUAAUACAUGCAAGUCGAGCGAACGGACGAGAAGCUUGCUUUUCUGAUGUUAGCGGCGGACGGGUGAGUAACACGUGGAUAACCUACCUAUAAGACUGGGAUAACUUCGGGAAACCGGAGCUAAUACCGGAUAAUAUUUUGAACCGCAUGGUUCAAAAGUGAAAGACGGUCUUGCUGUCACUUAUAGAUGGAUCCGCGCUGCAUUAGCUAGUUGGUAAGGUAACGGCUUACCAAGGCAACGAUGCAUAGCCGACCUGAGAGGGUGAUCGGCCACACUGGAACUGAGACACGGUCCAGACUCCUACGGGAGGCAGCAGUAGGGAAUCUUCCGCAAUGGGCGAAAGCCUGACGGAGCAACGCCGCGUGAGUGAUGAAGGUCUUCGGAUCGUAAAACUCUGUUAUUAGGGAAGAACAUAUGUGUAAGUAACUGUGCACAUCUUGACUGUACCUAAUCAGAAAGCCACGGCUAACUACGUG